rnacentral:rRNA from 1 species
GGCCCGCACAAGCAGCGGAGCAUGUGGUUUAAUUCGAAGCAACGCGAAGAACCUUACCUAGACUUGACAUCUCCUGCAUUACCCUUAAUCGGGGAAGUUCCUUCGGGAACAGGAAGACAGGUGGUGCAUGGUUGUCGUCAGCUCGUGUCGUGAGAUGUUGGGUUAAGUCCCGCAACGAGCGCAACCCCUAUUGUUAGUUGCUACCAUUCAGUUGAGCACUCUAGCGAGACUGCCCGGGUUAACCGGGAGGAAGGUGGGGAUGACGUCAAAUCAUCAUGCCCCUUAUGUCUAGGGCUACACACGUGCUACAAUGGUCGGUACAAUGAGAAGCAACCUCGCGAGAGUGAGCAAAACUAUAAAACCGAUCUCAGUUCGGAUUGCAGGCUGAAACUCGCCUGCAUGAAGCUGGAGUUGCUAGUAAUCGCGAAUCAGAAUGUCGCGGUGAAUACGUUCCCGGGC